UAACGCGUGAGGAACCUGCCUUCCAGAGGGGGACGAACAGUUGGAAACGACUGCUAAUACCGCAUGACACAUGACCGUGGCAUCACGGACAUGUCAAAGAUUUAUCGCUGGAAGAUGGCCUCGCGUCUGAUUAGCUGGUAGGCGGGGUAACGGCCCACCUAGGCGACGAUCAGUAGCCGGACUGAGAGGUUGACCGGCCACAUUGGGACUGAGAUACGGCCCAGACUCCUACGGAAGGCAGCAG
rnacentral:rRNA from 1 species